rnacentral:rRNA from 1 species
GUAAUUCCGGUGAAGAUGCCGGAUACCUGCGACAGGACGGAAAGACCCCAUGGAGCUUUACUGUAGCUUGACAUUGGGUCUUGGUACUACAUGUACAGGAUAGGUGGGAGGCUUUGAAACCAGGACGACAGUUUUGGCGGAGCCAUCCUUGGGAUACCACCCUUGUAGUACUGGGACUCUAACCAUAGGCCAUGAAUCUGGUCUUGGGACACUGUCAGGUGGGCAGUUUGCCUGGGGCGGUCGCCUCCCAAAAGGUAACGGAGGCGCUCAAAGGUUCUCUCAGUACGGUCGGAAAUCGUACGUAGAGUGUAAAGGCAAAAGAGAGCUUGAUUGCAAGACAUACAGGUCGAGCAAGGAUGAAAAUCGGACUUAGUGAUCCGGUGG